rnacentral:rRNA from 1 species
CCUACGGGAGGCAGCAGUGAGGAAUAUUGGUCAAUGGGCGGGAGCCUGAACCAGCCAAGCCGCGUGAGGGAAGAAGGUACAGCGUAUCGUAAACCUCUUUUGUCAGGGAACAAAGUCGGGGACUAGUCCCCGGAUGAGGGUACCUGAAGAAAAAGCAUCGGCUAACUCCGUGCCAGCAGCCGCGGUAAUACGGAGGAUGCGAGCGUUAUCCGGAUUUAUGGGGGUUAAAGGGUGCGCAGGCGGCCUGUUCAGUCAGAGGUAAAAGCCCGGGGCUCAACCCCGGCGAGCCGUUGAAACUGGCGGGCUGGAGUUGGAGAGAAGUACGCGGAAUGCGCGGUGUAGCGGUGAAAUGCUUAGAUAUCGCGCAGAACCCCGAUUGCGAAGGCAGCGUACCGGCUCCACACUGACGCUGAGGCACGAAAGCGUGGGUAUCGAACAGGAUUAGAUACCCCAGUAGUC